UACGAAGGGGGCUAGCGUUGCUCGGAAUUACUGGGCGUAAAGGGCGGGUAGGCGGCCACCGCAAGUCAGUUGUGAAAUCUCUGGGCUUAACCCAGAAAGGUCAACUGAUACUGCGGGGCUAGAGUGCAGAAGGGGCAACUGGAAUUCUCGGUGUAGCGGUGAAAUGCGUAGAUAUCGAGAGGAACACCUGCGGCGAAGGCGGGUUGCUGGGCCGACACUGACGCUGAGGAGCGAAAGCGUGGGGAGCGAACAGG
rnacentral:rRNA from 1 species